UUGAUGAAGGUGAUUGUGAAUUGAAAAACGGUUACGGUGGUUGAAGGUUUUGGUUGAAGGAUUGGAAGAGUUUGUGAUGAAGUUUGGAAGAAGAAGAUUGGGAGAGAGGAAGAAAUGAGAUUGAGUCUGUUAUGUGGAAAAAUCUGGAAGUGUAGUGAGGUGAAGGUUUUGGUUGAAGGAUUGGAAGAGUUUGUGAUGAAGUUUGGAAGAAGAAGAUUGGGAGAGAGGAAGAAAUGAGAUUGAGUCUGUUAUGUGGAAAAAUCUGGAAGUGUAGUGAGUUUGAAUAGCAGCUUGAAGUGUAGCUUGGUUUUGAUGCCUUGGCUUGGCUUGGCAGUUAUUGUGCAGG